UCGACCCGAACGGCGCCCUUGCUUCUCCCGCAAUCGGAUCUCUCUGCUGAUGAGAUUUUCAAGUCACAUCGUUCCGACCACCCAAGAUUCGUUGUCCAAUAUUCGUCGGUUGAAGGUAAGGUAGCCCCAUACGAGAUCGUGUGGUUCGUGUUCCUUGCACCCGGAUCUCUCCGCCUACCAUUUCCGGCCAACAUCCAUCGGAGCACCUUACCAACAUCUACUCCAGGCUCCUACCGACGGUAACUAGGCUCUUCAACAACCAUUAGGUAAUUGUUCUUCCAUUUGACCACCACAACUGCCACAGCUCGUUGUACAGCAAGGUUCGACCUUGAUUUAGUUUCAGGGCCUUCUGAACAUUGAACUUCCAUCACAAAUCCGCUCCUCACAAUGGAUAACUUCGGCUAGCAGUGGAACUGUUUUCCCGAAGACUUGGUAACCAUUAUACACUCUUCCUUAGAAAUGUUCGUCUGUAGCUCAAUGAAAAAGUUAUUGGGCGUUUAUUAAAUAAGUAAAAUUAUUAACUAGAAUAUACUCACAAAUUUUUUAUACUUUUCUCCUUAUAUUUUGUCUCCAAUUCAUGAGUAAACCGUUUCCAUAGAUUAAGAAUGUAAUGUUUCUUCCGGGCAACGUCACAUGUCAAUGCAAUUGCAAUUGGCUUCUUUCCACUUCUCCCCCAAUAGUAAACUGUAGGUGUUGAACAUGUGACCCGAAAUGAAUGUUUGAAGGGUAGCUAAUUUUGAAACUUUAUUUUCCUAUUUAUUCACAUUUAUUACAAAUUGCUCAGACUCUGUGUUUAUACAAAAUUGAUGAGUUAGUUUAUGUUCAUAGCAAGUGUGUAUUUCGUCCGCAAUUUAGUAAAGCUCAUUUUUUGGUUUUUAUAUUUCUUGUUUGCUGCCUGUCCCCAUUAUGCUUCUACGUGAUAUUGCAAAAUGCAAUUUGACCGAGGAUCAUAUUGUGCCCCUUUUGCCCUCUCGCCAAAUGGUGAACUAAUAAAAAAAUGUGGAAGUCCCUUAAAAAGCUUUCAAGAUGGGAGCCCUAAAUACUUGACAAUAGGCUUCUUUCCUCCCUGCCUCUUUAAUACAUCCAAUUAAUUUACUUUUGUUACACCUUCGCUGCUUUACAAAUUACAAUUUUCUCUUACAGCUCGGCACUAGUGGCAGUGCCCACCCGAUGCAUUGUGCUGCAUCCGACCAGCAAGACCCGUAGCCAACGGUGCAAAAGUCAGCCAAAUGGAAAUCCUUGGAGUCCAAGGUCUUCAUUUCAACAUGCGAAACCGUGAUCGCAAAAGGCCACCGAUGAGGCAAAUGCUUUUCAACAAAGGGAUGGUUGCGUAUCACAAAAAUUUUCAACAAGAAAGCUAGAAAGAACUGGACUAUAUCCUAGAUGAAGAACUACUGGAGUGAACUGCGGGAGCAGCACAAACACCUGUUCGAGCUGCUGCAAUGUACAGGAAUUGAGUACCACUCGAGCACCGGUACAAUCGUUGCUCUGGAGCAUUGGUGGGACGCCAAAAUCAAGGUGCAUUAUUUCCAUUAUAACUUCCAUGUACUAUCAUGCUGUGUCUAUCUUAUUAAAGUUGUGUGUGAGCAUGAUUGAUAUACAAAUAGAAUUUCUUAAUAAUGCUAAUUUCAUACUGUGACGCUUAGUAUGUGACACUAGUUCAUCCACAUGAUCUAGAUCAACAUAGAGGUUCAUUUGCUCUUGUUAAUGCAUUGGCUAAUUGUCGUUAACUGCAUGCAUUUGAGUGUUUCCUUCUAGUUCAUGCAUUUGUUUAUUCGUAUCCUUUUCCAUUCUAAUAUCGUGUUUCAUUAUUCGUUAUGUUUUCAUUUUCAUUUGGAAAUAAGAUAAGCCAAAGUAUGCGAAGUAUAAGCACAUUGAUUGCAACGAGAUUUAUGACACUUGUGGAAAGCUAUUCGGGGACACCUAAGACGCAACGAAGUACGCGUUGUCCCCAACAAAGCUGUCGCAACGUGGCUUUGACCUAAGUACAGAUAGUGAUCGAGAAGACGUCGACGACAAGUUACCAAUCAACACAGAGGGAACCGAUUCUAGUGGCAGUCCAAACGAAGACAGAGGAAACUCUUUGAUGAACAUAUCCGGGAGGCAAAAUGGUGACAAAUGGAAAGGAAAACAAUGGAGAGACAGAUGAUAUAAGAAACGGUAUAGUGCUGGAGACGUGUCGACAUCACUUGAGUAGAUGGUUAGCGUCAGAACAGAUCUGGCUUCCAUUGCGAGAUCACAUCGUAACAGAGGAAUGUCGGUCAACGAGUGUGUCGACGAAUUGCUCUCGUUGGGUUAUGUGAAGAAGGGUGAUAUGCUCCACUUGUUCGCCAUGUAGUUUCUCAGUGACUAAGAUGAUCAAAAUUCGUACUGUGCUGCGAAGACACCAAUUCUGUGCUUCAAGUUUGUGGAGUACUGUUUCGAGCGAGACAAUAUAUCAUGUGAGUGAAAGGGGUGAUUGCUUGGCAUUCGACUUAUGCUGUUGUGCACUUUCCGAUUCAUUUUUUUCCCUGCACCUUUUUUUUGUGCAUUUUCCUUGUGAGAUUUAGCUGUAACUGACUUUAGAAGUUAAAAAUUUUCUGUGUCGCAUGUGAACCUGUUGCCUUGGAGUGAUUUGUACUUUCACUAUUAUAUGUACCAUAUUGUAUUAUUAUAUUCUUUUUACAUGUGAUUGCACAGCAUAAAUGGGUAGACAACUUUAUAAUUGGCAGAGAAUAUAUUUCCUGCAACUUGCAAUGAAUUUUCUCUUUUUAGAAAUGAAAACUGAUU
rnacentral:lncRNA from 1 species